rnacentral:rRNA from 1 species
UACGUAGGGUGCGAGCGUUGUCCGGAAUUACUGGGCGUAAAGAGCUUGUAGGUGGUUUGUCGCGUUGUUCGUGAAAUCUCACGGCUCAACUGUGAGCGUGCGGGCGAUACGGGCAGACUAGAGUACUGCAGGGGAGACUGGAAUUCCUGGUGUAGCGGUGGAAUGCGCAGAUAUCAGGAGGAACACCGGUGGCGAAGGCGGGUCUCUGGGCCGAUACUGACGCUGAGGAGCGAAAGCGUGGGGAGCAAACAGG